rnacentral:lncRNA from 1 species
GUCGAAAUCAGACUCUAAUCCACAAAACCGAGUCUCGAUGACGACUCCAAGACUCUUUGGCAGAUUGAAGAGUGGAAUUUGAUAGAAGAUUGAAUAAGGUUUCUAUAGACAUUGAAUUUGGGUGAUUUGGAGUUGUAAUGACUUUGUAAGAGCUUUGCAAAGUCAAGGUUUGUUUCGGAUGACUUGGAUUUUAUGAAAUAAAAUAGGGUUUAUAUUUUGGAUGAUUUCGAGAGUUCUAUAGCAGAUCUAUGGAUGAAAUAUUGUGGGUUUAUGGUUAUAGUUGUGUUUAAUAUGUGUUGUAAAUUUGAACUCGAUCUAAUAGUUGAAUUAAAGGUUAUUGAGGUUUAAGUAGAUCAAGGUCUCAAAAAGUAGAAUUUUACAUCUAGUGAGGGUUUUUUAGAAUUUCUUGCAAUCUAAUGCUUGGAUUGGAGUGAAACUUAUGUGAGCGGAUAUAAGACUUGCUUUU